GGCAGUGGUGGUGAGAAUCCGAAGUCUCAUCUCCAAACGUUGCUUGCUCGGGCUGGCCACCAAUCACCCAGUUAUAAGAUAACACAGCUAAAAAACAAUAAGUUCCGCGCCACUGUAAUAUUCAAUGGUUUAAAUUUUUCUGGCCAGCCUAGCAGUAGCAAGAAGGAUGCUGAAAAAGAUGCAGCUGCUGAAGCUCUACAGUGGUUUACUGGUGAGACCCAAUCCUCUUCUAAAGCUGUUGAACACAUGUCAGCACUUCUGAAGAAAAGCAAGAGUAAAAAUCAACUUCAUAGUACAAAAUGGAGGUAAUUUUUGCAUAAGUUAGGGUAGCUAACCCAACAGUCCCGCGGAUAAAGAGGUUCUCGCUGGCAUUAAUUUUCUUGGUUGAAAAAGGAUGGUGUGAUUUUUGGCGAAGAAGAUGUAGCUUGAAGGUUUGUAUAUAACGAGUCUUAUUGGACCUUCAUUUUUUAAGAGGGUUGCAGACAAUCUCGAGGGAGCUACUGUAGUUGAGGUUGCCAUUGUGGGAGGAACUAAUCAUUGCGGUAUCUUCCUAUGUGGUGACCUAGGUUAAAGUUCACUACGCUCUGGUGCCAUGAUGUCUAUAUGCUGUCCCAAAGGCUAGUCAAAUUCUCAAGCAAGAGUUUGGCUCAGCCGAUCAAUUCUUUCACUGAGAAGUGGACUGCCGCCUAGUUUGGAUGGGCAUAUGUGCAAUGACCUGAACGGUCAGCUCGGCCUCGGUAUUACACUAAUUUUUAUACCUUGUAUGAGUUUUGCUUCUAAUUCAUUAUUACUUAUGAGAAAGGAUCUGUAGGAGGAAAAUGGAGAGUUGUACACCAAAUACAAAGUUGUAUUAGAGACUCGUGAAUGAUCAUGAUCAUGAUGUAUUAUAGACUUGAAGUCUAAGAGUGUAUUUUUCCUUUAAAUUUUU
rnacentral:misc_RNA from 1 species